rnacentral:rRNA from 1 species
UACGUAGGGAGCAAGCGUUGUCCGGAAUCAUUGGGCGUAAAGCGCGCGUAGGUGGCUCUAUAAGUCCGUUGUGAAAGUCAAAGGCUCAACCUUUGAAAGCCGAUGGAUACUGUAGAGCUAGAGUCCGGAAGAGGCGAGUGGAAUUCCGGGUGUAGCGGUGGAAUGCGUAGAGAUCCGGAAGAACACCGGUGGCGAAGGCGGUGAGCUGGGCAGUUGCUGGACACUGAGGCGCGACAGCGUGGGGAGCGAACCGG